rnacentral:rRNA from 1 species
UACGGAGGGUGCAAGCGUUAUCCGGAUUCACUGGGUUUAAAGGGUGCGUAGGCGGGCAGGUAAGUCAGUGGUGAAAUCUCCGAGCUUAACUUGGAAACUGCCAUUGAUACUAUCAGUCUUGAAUAUUGUGGAGGUCAGCGGAAUAUGUCAUGUAGCGGUGAAAUGCUUAGAUAUGACAUAGAACACCAAUUGCGAAGGCAGCUGGCUACACAUAUAUUGACACUGAGGCACGAAAGCGUGGGGAGCAAACAGG